rnacentral:lncRNA from 1 species
AAUAAAAAUAAAAGGAGAAAAUUGAAAAACUUUAAAAAUAAUAUAAAAGUUAUUUCUCACUCUAUACUGUCACACCUUUCAGUGGAUUACUCUCUCGCCGCGCAUGUUUUUGUGAAAUUUAUGGCACAACCAUCCUCGCUGGUAACUUCCUCCAACGACUUCCCCACCACUUUCGUAAACAUAAAAGUUGAAAUAAAACCCAAAAUACAUUUGUAAAAGCCAAAAACCAUCAAGAUGUACUUAAUCCUACUCACCUUCUUAUCCAAUGUGUAAGACUACAAAACAAAACCAGCCACAAUCAACCUGACUUUUCUUGCAACGGCACUCAAUGCAUGACACGUUGACCUCAGUCGGGCCAGGAAAAGCUCCCCGGGCCAGAUGAAAGUUGUCGUAUUGGGCCCAAAGUUCCCAAAGACGAACCAAAGUUCAGAUAACACGGUGAACAAUCUCUUGGUAAUAUGCCACAAAUACUCGUACUUAAUUCCCAUAACCAACAAAAACGUCAAUAUCAUGAAAAAUCCCAUUAACUGAAUCACGUAUUAACCCAACUUCUCGAUGAACGUGAUUUUGAACUAACAUCCGGGGAAAGUAUCUAAUAAUGCAACGACGAACAUGGCGCAUUAGGAGAUCAACAGAGGAAACGUGACAAGAAAAUUAUGGGAUCUUUUGAACAACUCAAAAGAGGUUCUCAACAUUGUUUAGCCACAUAAGGAGUUUAGUCGUACAAUUUCUGCUAAAUUUAGUUAUUCAAUAAAUUAUUAGUAGCAAAAUGAAACUUUUAAAAGACUUGUGGAUUUGGAAUACCUUCAAAGUCCAGGAGAAGAAGACAACUUGUCUGGCAACUGACAAUGGUUUAUUGGGAGUCCUACCAAUAACAGACCAAUGGAAAAUUUUAAUGUCUAGUCAGGGAAUGAAAAACAACCGUUGCUAAGAAAGAUUGAUAGAGUGAAGAACUCAAAUCUAUAAACUUAAAUGGUAUAUGUAACAUAGUGGAACAAGUAUGAAGUGAAUGAAGAAAAUUAGGAUUUUAAUGGGAGGAAUGCAGGAAAGAAUAGUGUUUGCUGUUAUAUCUCUGUUGUUACAUUCCCUUAUUUUUCAUCCACAUCACCGUGCUUCUACACUAACAACAGCUCAACAAUGAGUUCGAUUGUUCAGGAUCCACCGAAUUUGGGGUUCGGAUCGAGUGGACAAUGGUGAAUCAAGCAAUAGCAUGUAGUUUUUUGUCGUUGCCAUUUAUCAACAUGUGAAGAGACCACCAUGCAAAAUUGACUCUGAUUUUUUGUGGGGUUUUUUUUUUCAGCUCUACUAUAAUAAGAUGUACUUAAAGAACACAACACAAAUCUACGAAUUGGGGUUGUUUAUUACAAAACUCAGAAUUCGGUACGGGGAACGAUUUUCUACUUCAUUUCUUCUUUUUUGAUCAUUUGAUUCAUUAAGAAUGUUAUUCACUCCAUUUAUCAGUUUGCGAAACGUGUACAAUUCUUAAAAACUGAGUACAUGUCAAAAACCUAAUACAAAACAUUGUCACGUAAAGAUUUCAAAAACAUAAUUCCAACAAAGAUGGUCUAGUGGGCGAAUUUUGUUUUUGGAAUCUUAACUCUAGUGAGAGGAAAAAACCUGCUUGAAAAAUUUAGCUCGACAUAAAUGGUUUGGCCAAUGGAAUUUCUAUUUGAUCAUAAAAAAGUUUGCAUUUGCUCCUUUUAAGACAAGGGUAUUGAGUGGAAAUUUUAAUUGAAAAGAUAUGGAUAUUAUAUUCUUGUUAGAGAUGGAUUUAUAUUUUCAUAUGAAAAAAAUAAAUUUUCGGGCGAAGAGAUCAAAAUAAACAUGAAACUCUUAACUUUCUUAUUUAGAAAUAAAAUUCUAAAUUUGUAUGAAAUUUUUAGAGACAGAAUUAAACAUAGAUUAACUUAUGAUUGUAAGUGACUACUAAAGUACAAGGUUUCUCGACCCAAGUUGAGAGAGAACCAAUGGACCAUGCAUCUUUAAUUAGCUUACAACAACUAUUAUCUAACUCCGGAAUGACACAAUCAAAAGGAUCGCCUUAACACCUCUUCAAAUGAAAAAUAAUAUAGCAAGUACUCAAUUUUGACCAUGGAUGAAUUGUAUAAUACAUGAAUAGAUGAUUAAGGGGUUGGGGCAUGACAAGUAUAUUGAUACUUAGUAGAGUGUUUCUUGGUUAAUGAAUUGUAGUAAAAAUUAUAUGAAAUUGCAUGAAUUGGAUAAUCAUAGACACCCAACUGGUCAUACACAUUGUAAUGAACAAAAUCAAAUAAUUAUAAAAAUUUACUUAUGAUGAAAGUAAACCAAUCACUAUACCUCAUAAAUUUGAAGUCAAGUUGUAAAUCAAUGAAUAAUUUUAUCUUUCCGAAGCCUUCCAUUCCAACUCCUAUAUGUUGGAUUUGAAAUAAUCGAAUUUGUUCAAGGAACAAACAUCAAAUCUAAAAAUGUGAGUUACAUAUCAUACCUAAAUAACUUUUCACUAGAAGAAGAGAUAAAACUUAUAUCGCAUACCUAAUUCCGCAAUGUGAUUGUCAUUCGUUUCUUCUUCCAUUCAAAAGAGCAAAUAAAUUAUUUAGCCCCAAGUACGAAGCACACCAGCGAAAAUGUUUGAAUGGAGAAAGCGUUAUUUGAUGAAUAUGAAUUAGGAGAUGGGUAUUUAUAUAAAAUUAAAUUCUAUUUUAAGAUUUCAAUCCUUCUUAAAUAUUGAUAAGCACUAAAUUCGUGAAUAAAUUUUCGAUUUGAAAUUUUCUAAACAUUGAUGUGAGCGUUUCAAAUUUAUUAUUUAUGAAAUUACUGAAAUAUUCUUAAUGAUCAAAGUACAAGGUUUCUCAAACCAAAUUAAGAGAGAACGAUAUAUAUUGUUUUUAAUUAAUUAAGAUAACACAACCUAAAUUAGAAAAAUAAAUAAAUGUGUUCACAAAUUGUUGCAACUAGAUCAAAUCGGAAACCUUUGAAUCGUCAAUAAACUAUUUCUCUUGGUGUGUUUUCCUUUACUUGUUUGGGACGGCAAGCUUGUGAGUGAUUGGUUGCAUGUUGCUUGCUAUGAAUUCUCUAUAUAGUUUGCCUUCCUAGGUCACAUUUUGAAGCAAUAGUUUUCUUUAAUAGACAUACAACCAUUUAGAUAAAAAAAUAAACGUCAAUAUAUUAUUUUACCUAAUGAGCUACAUUACUUAGAUAGAAUCAUAUAUCUCAUUUUAUAUCAUACCAUUGUUCUUUAUAUUUUUUAAAGGUGUACUCUAUGCACGGUAAAAAAAAGUGUCACACAUAAAAUAAUAAUAAAAAUAAAAGAAGCAAUUGAUAAAUUUUAAAAAUAAUAUAAAAGUUAUUUCUCACUCUAUACUGUCACACCUUCCAGCGGAUUACUCUCUCGCCGCGCAUAUUUUUUUGGAAAUUUAUGGCACAGCCAUCCUCGCUGGAAAUUUCCGCCAACGACUUCCCCACCACUUCCGACAACAUAAAAGUUGAAAUAAAACCCACAAUACAUUUGUAUAAGCGAAAACCAUCAAGAUGUACUUAAUCCUGCUUACCUUCUUAUCCAAUGUGUAAGACUGCAAAACAAAAGCAGCCACAAUCAACCUGACUUUCCUCGCAACUGCACUCAAUCCAUGACACGUGGACCUCAGUCGGGCUAGGAAAAGCUCCGCGGGCCAGAUGAAAGUAGUCGAAUUGGGCCAAAAGUUCCCAAAGACGAACCAAAGUUCAGAUUACACAGUGAACAACGCAAUCAAUGCAUGCCACAUGGACCUCAGUCGGGCCAGGAAAAGCUCCGCGGGCCAGAUGAAUGUAGUCGAAUUGGGCCCAAAGUUCCUGAAGACGAACCAAAGUUCAGAUAACACAGUGAACAAUCUCUUGCUAUCAUGCCACAAAUACUCGUACUUAAUCCCCAUAAUCAACAAAAUGUCAAUAUCAUGAAAAAUCCCAUUAACUGAAUCACGUAUUAACCCAACUUCUCGAUGAACGCGAUUUUGAACUAACAUCCGGGGAAAGUAUCUAAUAAUGCAACGACGAACAUGGCGCAUUAGGAGAUCAACAGAGGAAACAUGCGUCAAUAUCAUGAAAAAUCCCAUUAACUGAAUCAUGUAUUAACCCAACUUCUCGAUGAAUGCGAUUUUAAACUAACAUCCGGGGAAAGUCUCUAAUAAUGCAACGAUGAACAUGCACAUUGGGAGAUCAACAGAGGAAACAUGACAAGAAAAUUAUGGGAUCUUUUGAACGACUCAAAAGAGGUUUUUGUUUAGCCACAUAAGGAGUUUGGUCGUACAAUUUCUGCUAAAUUUAGUUAUUCAAUAAAUUAUUAGUAGAAAAAUGAAACUUGUUAAAAGACUUGUGGAUUUGGAAUACCUUCGAACUCCAGGUGCAGAAGACAAUUUGUCUGGUAACUGAUAAUGGUUUAUUAGGAGUCCUACCAAUAACAGACCAAUGGAAAAUUUAAAUGUCUAGUCAGGGAAUGAAAAAUAACCGUUGCUAAGAAAGAUUAAGAGAGUGAAGAACUCAACUCUAUAAACUUAUAUGGUAUACGUAACAUAGUGAAAAAAGUAUGAAGCAAAUGAAGAAAAUUAGGAUUUUAAUGGGAGGAAUGCAGGAAAGAAUAGUGUUUGCUGUUAUAUCUCUGUUGUUACAUUCCCUUAUUUUUCAUCCACAUCACCGUGCUUCUACGCUAACAACAGCUCAACAAUGAGUUCGAUUGUUGAGGAUCCACCGAAUUUUGGGGCCUCAACAAUGAGUUCGAUUAUUGAGGAUCCAUCAAAUUUUGGGGUACGGAUCGAGUGGACAAUGGUGAAUCAAGCAAUAGCAUGUGGUUUUUUGUUGUUGCCAUUUAUCAACAUGUGAAGAGACAACCAUGCAAAAUUGACUCUGAUUUUUUGUGGGGUUUUUUACCAGUUCUACUAUAGUAAAAUGUACUUACAGAUCACAACACAAAUCUACGAAUUGGGGUUGUCUAUUACAAAAACCUAAUACAACACAGUGUAACGAGAGAUUUCAAAAACAUAAUUCCAACAAAGAUGGUCUAGUAGGCGAAUUUUGUUUUUCGAAUCCUAACUCUAAUGAGUGGAAAAAACUUGCUUGAAAAAUUCAGCUUGACAUAAAUGGUUUGGCCAAUGGAGUUUCUAUUUGAUCUUUAAAAAGUUUGAAUUUGCUCCUUUUAAGACGAGGGUAUUGAGUGGAAAUUUUAAUUGAAAAGAUACGGAUAUUAGAUUCUAGUUAGAGAUGGAUUUAUAUUUUCAUAUGAAAAAAAUAAAUUUUCGGGCGAAGAGAUCAAAAUAAACAUGAAACUCUUAACUUUCUUAUUUAGAAAUAAAAUUCUAAAUUUGUAUGAAAUUUUUAGAGACAGAAUUAAACAUAGAUUAACUUAUGAUUGUAAGUGACUACUAAAGUACAAGGUUUCUCGACCCAAUUUGAGAGAGAACCAAUGGACCAUGCGUCUUUAAUUAGCUUACAACAACUAUUAUCUAACUCCUGAAUGACACAAUCAAAAGGAUCGCCUUAACACCUCUUCAUGCUACCAGGAGCUAUGCUGGAACUUGAAACAUCAUGGCUAGUGUUAAGCGCGAAACCCAUGACGAACCAAAUGUCCUCAGUCUAAUAGUAGCAAAAACAAUGAAACUUUGUAUGAUGCUUCCAGAUCAUCAGUGAAAUUGCUUGAAAGUCAGCUCACACCUACACACAUGCACAAUCAUUAUGCAUGUCUAAAUUAUUUACACUCAAGCUAACCAAAUCAACAAUAUUGAAAUCCUAUACUAUUUGAAACAUACCAUUCUUAUUAUUAUCAACAUCAACUGUGGUACCCUUGCUAACCAGUCCCGUAAAAGCCUCAAUCCGGCAACUCUAAUCAAUGCAAAAAAUAGGUUUCCUUACCCAUAAUUAAAUACAAAGAAAAAUACUAAAAUUUUAAAACAUGUAUAAUCUAAUAGCAUCAGUAAGAACGGCUACUGCAUUACAUACCAUCUCCAUAGCACAUUAUGCUGUCAUGACGCUCUGGUUAAGCCUAAGACACACAAAAUUUUAGUUCUUAGAUCCAGACUGAUAAGAUAUCAGCUUUAAUAGAUGUUUUGGAUAAUACAAUUAUGAGAAAUGAGACUGAGGGCACGUCGAGUAUCCCAAUACAUAGUAGAUAGUGAUGUGAUUUUAAUGAAAAAUAAUAUAGCAAGUACUCAAUUUUGACCAUGGAUGAAUUGUAUAAUACAUGAAUAGAUGAUUAAGGGGUUGGGGCAUGACAAGUAUAUUGAUACUUAGUAGAGUGUUUCUUGGUUAAUGAAUUGUAGUAAAAAUUAUAUGAAAUUGCAUGAAUUGGAUAAUCAUAGACACCCAACUGGUCAUACACAUUGUAAUGAACAAAAUCAAAUAAUUAUAAAAAUUUACUUAUGAUGAAAGUAAACCAAUCACUAUACCUCAUAAAUUUGAAGUCAAGUUGUAAAUCAAUGAAUAAUUUUAUCUUUCCGAAGCCUUCCAUUCCAUCUCCUAUAUGUUGGAUUUGAAAUAAUCCAAUUUGUUCAAGGAACAAACAUCAAAUCUAAAAAUGUGAGUUACAUAUCAUACCUAAAUAACUUUUCACUAGAAGAAGAGAUAAAACUUAUAUCGCAUACCUAAUUCCGCAAUGUGAUUGUCAUUCGUUUCUUCUUCCAUUCAAAAGAGCAAAUAAAUUAUUUAGCCCCAAGUACGAAGCACACCAGCGACAAUGUUUGAAUGGAGAAAGCGUUCUUUGAUGAAUAUGAAUUAGGAGAUGGGUAUUUAUAUAAAAUUAAAUUCUAUUUUAAGAUUUCAAUCCUUGUUAAAUAUUGUAAUAAGCACUAAAUUCGUGAAUAAAUUUUAUAUUUGAAAUUUUCUAAACAUUGAUGUGAGCGUUUCAAAUUUAUUAUUUAUGAAAUUGCUGAAAUAUUGUUAAUGAUCAAAGUACAAGGUUUCUCAAACCAAAUUAAGAGAGAACGAUAUAUAUUGUUUUUAAUUAAUUAAGAUAACACAACCUAAAUUAGAAAAAUAAAUAAAUGUGUUCACAAAUUGUUGCAACUAGAUCAAAUCGGAAACCUUUUUUUCGUCAAUAAACUAUUUCUCUUGGUGUGUUUUCCUUUACUUGUUUGGGACGGCGAGCUUGUGAGUGUUUGGUUGCAUGUUGCUUGCUCUGAAUUCUCUAUAUAGUUUGCCUUGCUAGGUCAUAUUUUGAAGCAAUAGUUUUCUAUAAUAUACAUACAACCAUUUAGAUAAAAAAAUAAACGUCAAUAUAUUAUUUUACCUAAUGAGCUACAUUACUUAGAUAGAAUCAUAUAUCUCAUUUUAUAUUAUACCAUUGUUCUUUAUAUUUUUUAAAGGUGUACUCUAUGCGCGCCGAUAAAAAAAGUGUCACACAUAAAAUAAUAAUAAAAAUAAAAGGAGAAAAUUGAAAAACUUGAAAAAUAAUAUAAAAGUUAUUUCUCACUCUAUACUGUCACACCUUCCAGCGGAUUACUCUCUCGCCGCGCAUAUUUUUUGGAAAUUUAUGGCACAACCAUCCUCGCUGGAAAUUUCCUCUAACGACUUCCCCACCACUUCCGACAACAUAAAAGUUGAAAUAAAACCCACAAUACAU